ACGGUCAGCGGCGGCGACACGGCGAGCUCCUCUUCGUGCCUCGCCGCUGCUCAUCUUCCUCUCCGUCCCAUUGCAGGUCGACGGGACGGGAGGAGCCGCGGGCCGCUGCUCCUCCACCGGCACCGAGCAGCGCCACCGUAGGUCCACCCCGCGUGUCGCCGCAUGUCCUUCUUGUUGCCUCUGAUGGGGUGGGGAUAAGACACGCAUCUGCGGAUCUGCCUCCGGUGCUCCACCACCUUUCCAUGAAGCUGCAGUCUUGCUUCGCUGGUCCUGUGAAAUGCCUGCUCAAGAAGGCACACUUGGUCAAGCAGGAUCUUAAUCAAGUUCAUCAAUGCACCCAAGAUUGCCCAUAUCCCCAUCAAACCCUUGCCACAUUGGUGAUGGGCGAUGCAGUCUAGGCACAGCCAGUUUCUGAUAUUAUUCUGAGGAGAUACACAUCCAUGUAUUAUGCGGAACAUGGCUUCAAAUAGCUGGAUGCCGAAAUGGAUACAUGUUUUAGUGCUAAGUUGCAGUGUUGCUCCCAUGAGACAUGAUGCUUUUUGUCACAUUAGAACAGAGGAAGAUCUGCAGUUAUGUUCCUGAUCUUAGGUUUUGCAGUCAAUGCUAACUUCGCACGAUUGUUGAAGAUACUUGGCUUUCCUUUUUAUCCUGUAGACUGCUAGGGAAAACAUGCAUGUUAUUUGUCAAAGCCUGCUCUGUUGGGGCUCUAAGAACUCUAUGACUGCUCCACCAUCUCAGCUCAGGGUCAGCCUAUACGCCGAUGACGCGGCUCUGUUCAUGUCUCCUUCGGCAGCAGACAUUCAAACUACCAAACAAAUCCUCCUGCUCUUCGGUUCUGCCUCUGGGCUCAAGGCCAAUGUUCAGAAAAGUGUUCUUCUUCAUAUUGCUUGUGAUGAUAUUAACCUCCAAGAUCUGCUACAGAACUUCCCGGUUCCCAUCAGUCAGUUCCUUGCAAAUACCUGGGUUUGCCUCUCCACUUCAGGAACAUCACAAGAACGGGCAUCCAGCCAACUCUUGUUAAACUGGUAUCUAGGCUGCAAGGUUGGUGUGGUAAGCUUCUAUCUAGUGAUGCUCGCCUUCAGCUGAUAAACUCGGUACUCUCGGCAAUCCCCGUAUACCUCAUCUCCCUUUUCAAGCUGGAUAACUGAGCCAUCAAACAAAUAGAUAAGCUGAGAAGGAAUUUUCUGUGGCGCUCCAAACCUGACGCUGCGGGUGGCAUGGCUCUUAUGAAUUGCAAAACUGUGUGUCGUGCCAAAGCUCGGGGUGGCUUUGGCGUACUCGGUCUCAGAAGAUUUUGACGUGCCCUGCGACUGCUGGAAGUGGUUUGACUGGACUGAUAAGGAUAAGCCUUUGGUCUUGCUCCUCCAUCCCCUGCAUGUGACAAAGAUGACUUGGCUGGCUCUCUUCUCGGCUUCCACAUAUGUCAUGGUUGGCAAUGGUCAGCGCACCAGUUUCUGGUGUGAUCAAUGGCUUGAUGGGCAGGUUCUGCGCUACUCUGCUCCUGACAUCUUCAAGCUCUCUAAGUGCAAGAACAUUUCUGUUGCACACACACUUACAGAUCAUGGUUGGGUGUUUGGGCUGCAAAGGAUGUCAGUGAUUUCUGAGCUUCGGCAACUCACACAAGUCUGGCUACGUCUGAAGCAGGUAUCAUUGCAACCAGAUACUGAGGACACCGUUAGCUGGGUCUGGAACCCCUCCCAGGUGUACACGGCUGCAUCCUCGUACCACUGCCAGUUUCUUUGUUCCUUCUCCCACUUAGCAUUUGAUAAGCUUUGGAAGGCCCUGGUUCCUGCCAAGUGUCAUUUCUUCAUGUGGUUAUGGCUUCGGGGAAGAAUCCAAACAAAUGACAAUCUGGAGAUUCAUGGCAUUCCCUGUAAUGAUGCAUGCAACUUAUGUGAUCAAGAAGAUGAAUACCCUUUGCACCUUAUUCUGAAAUGCUCCUAUGCUAGAACAGUUUGGCAGCAGGUUGCGAACUGGAGUGACACCCCUGCUUUGGCCACUCAUGCCCAAGAAACUGAGUCCAUCACGGAGUGGUCAAAUGAGCACACCUGCAACUUGCCCAAGAAACUGAGUCCAUCACGGAGUGGUCAAAUGAGCACACCUGCAACUUGCCCAAGAAACAUGUAUCCACUGCAAUCUACACUGCAUGGAAUCUAUGGAAAGAGUGUAACAGGCGAGUCUUGGAGCGCAAGUUCUUAAAUGAAGCUGCUCUUUUAUCCAAUGAAGCAAGAUAUAUUGCAACCGAGUUUCUCCUUCUGCUGGAUAAUCGAUGUUCAAAAUGCACCAGAACCUGAGCCUGACUAGUUCUCUAUUAGCUUGGUGUGGGACACCUUAACCCCAACCUCUUGUAAAACAAGGAAUUUGUAUUUGUUUUCUCCUACUUAAUAUAUCGGCAGCAAAACUGCCAAAUUCCUCAAAAAAA